AGAUUUCCACAGGGCAACUAUGAUGGGGAAGGGGUGGAGGACAGAAAAGGUGGCGGAGGAAAUUUAUUACUAAUAUUGUGUUUGGCAAACACUUAUGUGUCAGGCACCCUUGUAAGUACUUUACAAAUAUCGGCUCGUCAAUCCUCAUAGCAUCCUGAUAAGACAAACAUUCUUCUUCUUCCCAGUUUACAGAUGGCACAGAGAGGUUUUGUCACUUGCCCAGGGUCACCCAGCUAGAAAUUAAUGAAGGCAGGAUUUGAACCUGGGAAGUCCAGCUCCCGAGUCCAUGCAUCAGCGAACUCAAAUAGGUCUAAACGUGGACAUGACGACGGUAGCUUAAGCCGCCGAAGGAUGGCCAGAGGGGCCUGGUGUUGUGAAAGAAGCUUGAUGAGCAGCACCGCACCACCAGUGCGAGGCUUUUACUGGGUCCUGGCCUCCAGACGUGUCUGGAAUGUUACUGUGGCUCCAACAGCACGCCCACAUCCCCACUGAUGCGACCCACGAUGCACCACACACAUCCACACUCACCCAGACAUGCAUUUUGCUGUAAACCCUUCUUUCAUUGAGCAGCUCAAGACAUGUGUCUUUAGGGAUGUCCCGGCUUGCCCCAAGUAUUUGCUUUCAGAAUUAAGAAUGUCCUGAACCUUUCCCCUUGGUAGCACCUAACAGUUGCUGUUUUACUUUUACUUAUAGUUAUUUAAUGCCUUUAUCUCUCUUCCAGACUCUAAGCUCCAUGGGGCUGUAUCUGCUUUCUGCUCACCAGCACCUAGCGCAGAGCUUAGCUACAGUGAAUGGUGUUAAUGUCUGUUAAGUGCAUAAAUAGGCCUCAACAGGGAAAGGACUGGGAUUUACAUCCUCACCUUCUUGCUCCCCAGCCCCUCACGUUCUAUGCAUGAAUCCCCUUUUUUCAGGCACACCUAUGCCUCGGUGGUGUUUCCCAGACAUCGAGCAUCUCUGGAUCUCAUGACACCCUGCAUCUCUCUCUCCAGUGCACCCAUGCUCAUCCUCAGUGACUCCUCUAGAAUUCUUGUGAUUUUUUAACUGGUGGGGGACAGAGAGAUCAUAGGAGCCCAUUUUUCAGAUAGAGAAAACUGAGCCUCAAGACCCGGGGGAGGAUCAAAAGGAACAAGUGGUACUCUGGAAAAAAGUGGCUUGUGUUCAGGAUUUCUGCCUCCUGGAAGACCUGCUGUUUAACUUGCUGGCCGAAACUGGCUCAUCACAAAGGAGAGAGACAGACGAGGGAGCAGGGUGGCCACUUCUGACAUCAGUCUCAGGGGACACGGUUUCUCACAUUCGUGGUUAAAAAGUGAAGAGCAUCUCCACUCUAACGAUAAAAAUCAAAAGGCCUUUCAUGUUUUUGCACAUUCAGGUUAAUAUAAUGAGAAAUGACGCUGGGAAUGACUGAUGAGCAGCUGUAAGCCCAUAUGUCUGGGGUGUUGCCUUUUUCUCUGAAUAGCAUACGUGUUUCUGCCUACCAAGAUCUCAGUGUGGCUGAGUGACUGAGCCUUCAGGCUUGGUAUUUCCCUGCCUCCUCUGUGUAUUUCCAAUUCUUUGACGUCAAGAAUUUUCUCUUUUGCACAGUUUUGCCUUUUCCAGGAGGUGAAUGGU